GAGGAUGGUCAGCCACACUGGGACUGAGACACUGCCCAGACUCCUACGGGAGGCUGCAGUCGAGAAUCAUUCGCAAUGCACGAAAGUGUGACGAUGCGACGCCGCGUGGAGGAUGACGGCCUUCGGGUUGUAAACUCCUGUCAUGAGGGAAGAAUGUUUUGCCGGUUAAUACCCGGUGAAAGUGACGGUACCUCAAGAGGAAGCCACGGCUAACUCUGUGCCAGCAGCCGCGGUAAUACAGAGGUGGCGAGCGUUGUUCGGAUUUACUGGGCGUAAAGGGUGCGUAGGCGGUUCUGUGUGUCGGAUGUGAAAUCUCACCGUCCAACGGUGAAACUGCAUUCGAAACUGCAGAACUAGAGCUCAGGAGAGGAAAGUGGAAUUCUCGGUGUAGCGGUGAAAUGCGUAGAUAUCGAGAAGAACGCCGACGGCGAAGGCAACUUUCUGGACUGAUACUGACGCUGAUGCACGAAAGCUGGGGUAGCGAAGAGGAUUAGAUACCCUCGUAGUCCCAGCCGUAAACGGUGUGCACUUGGUGUGGGCGGCUUUGUCCCCGUCCGUGCCGUAGCUAACGCGUUAAGUGCACCGCCUGGGGAGUACGGCCGCAAGGCUAAAACUCAAAGGAAUUGACGGGGGCCCGCACAAGCGGUGGAGCAUGUGGCUUAAUUCGAUGCAACGCGAAGAACCUUACCUGGGCUUGACAUGGUACUGCACGCCCCGUGAAAGCGGGGUUCCUUCGAGGGUGUACCACAGGUGCUGCAUGGCUGUCGUCAGCUCGUGCCGUGAGGUGUUGGGUUAAGUCCCGCAACGAGCGCAACCCUUGUCGUUAGUUGCCACUCCCUUCGGGGAAGCACUCUAACGAGACUGCCUGUGAUAAGCAGGAGGAAGGUGGGGAUGACGUCAAGUCAGUAUGGUCCUUAUGUCCAGGGCUGCACACGUGCUACAAUGGACGGUACAGAUCGAGGCAAUACCGCGAGGUGGAGCAAAUCGCUAAAACCGUCCCCAGUUCGGAUUGUAGUCUGCAACUCGACUACAUGAAGUUGGAAUCGCUAGUAAAGGCGUAUCAGCUACGACGCCUUGAAUACGUUCCCGGGCCUUGUACACACCGCCCGUCACAUCAUGAAAGUCGACUGCACCCGAAGUCGCCGGGCCAACCGCAAGGAGGCAGGCGCCGAAGGUGUGGUUGAUGAUUGGGAUGAAGUCGGAACAAGGUA
rnacentral:rRNA from 1 species